GACUCCUUUCUGGGGCCUCUUCUUCCAUCGGGCUGCAAUGACAGGGGCAUGGAGGGCUCAAGGGAGACAGGAGGUUUGCCCAAGCUGGCGAGGGUCUGCGCCUACAGGUCCAUGGCUGUGGGUCGCUGUGGGCGGUGCGGCAGGGGGCGCGGCGCUGCUGGCCGCAGGGGCCGGCCUGGCCUUCUACGUGCAGUCCACCGCUUGCAAGAAGGGAGAGUACAACGUCCAGGAGGCUGAGAGCUCAGGCGAGGCGGUGUGUCUCAAUGGCGCGGGCGGGACACCGGGUGCAGAAGGCGGAGCAGAGACCCCCGGCACUGCCGAGUCACCUGCAGAUGGCGAGGUUUUCGCCAUCCAGCUGACAUCUUCCUGAGCCUGUAUCCAGCUCCCCCAGGGGCCUCGAAAGCACAGGGGUGGACGUAUGUAUUGUUCACUCUCUAUUUAUUCAACUCCAGGGGCGUCGUCCCCGUUUUCUACCCAUUCCCUUAAUAAAGUUUUUAUAAAGGA
rnacentral:lncRNA from 1 species